rnacentral:rRNA from 1 species
GAUGAACGCUGGCGGCGUGCCUAAUACAUGCAAGUCGAGCGAACAGACGAGGAGCUUGCUCCUCUAACGUUAGCGGCGGACGGGUGAGUAACACGUGGAUAACCUACCUCUAAGACUUGGAUAACUUCGGAAAACAGGAUCUACUACCGGCUAAUAUAUUGAACGGCAUGGUUCAAUAGUGAAUGGGGGUUUUGCUGUCUCUUUGAGCUGAUUCCGCGCCGCAUUAGCUAGUUGGUAAGGUAACGGCUUACCAAGGCGACGAUGCGUAGCCGACCUGAGAGGGUGAUCGGCCACACUGGAACUGAGACACGGUCCAGACUCCUACGGGAGGCAGCAGUAGGGAAUCUUCCGCAAUGGGCGAAAGCCUGACGGAGCAACGCCGCGUGAGUGAUGAAGGUCUUCGGAUCGUAAAACUCUGUUAUUAGGGAAGAACAAAUGUGUAAGUAACUAUGCACGUCUUGACGGUACCUAAUCAGAAAGCCACGGCUAACUACGUG